rnacentral:rRNA from 1 species
GACGUAGGGGGCGAGCGUUGUCCGGAUUCAUUGGGCGUAAAGCGCGCGUAGGCGGUUCGGAAAGUCGGAUGUGAAAACCCGGAGCUCAACUCCGGGCCUGCAUCCGAUACUCCCGGACUAGAGGUAGGUAGGGGAGAUCGGAAUUCCUGGUGUAGCGGUGAAAUGCGCAGAUAUCAGGAGGAACACCGGUGGCGAAGGCGGAUCUCUGGGCCUUACCUGACGCCCAGGCGCGAAAGCUAGGGGAGCGAACAGG